rnacentral:rRNA from 1 species
AUACGGAGGGUGCAAGCGUUAAUCGGAAUUACUGGGCGUAAAGCGUGCGUAGGUGGUUUGUUAAGUUAGAUGUGAAAGCCCCGGGCUCAACCUGGGAACUGCAUUUGAAACUGGCAUACUAGAGUAUAGGAGAGGAAAGUGGAAUUUCAGGUGUAGCGGUGAAAUGCGUAGAUAUCUGAAGGAACAUCAAUGGCGAAGGCAGCUUUCUGGACUAAUACUGACACUGAGGUACGAAAGCGUGGGUAGCAAACGGGAUUAGAAACCCUAGUAGUCC